rnacentral:tRNA from 1 species
GCGUCGGUGGCAGAGUGGUCAAUUGCAACAGACUGUAAAUCUGUCGGACAUCGUCCUACGAAGGUUCAAAUCCUUCCCGGCGCA